GGAACGGUUAUAAGAGCAAUGAGUCGGAAGAGUUUGAUAGAAUCAACCCCUUGGAAUAAGAGAGAUCAACCCAUAACUAGCGCAAAACCAUUGAAAAUAACAAACAUUGCAUCCUUUAGAUGGGCCAAAAUUUAUGAAAGAAAACAAUAGGCCAACUGUCCGGACCCGAGUGUAUUUUCAUAGACCACAAUGUCAAGCACAUUAAAACCAUUCAGCUGUGCAUCAUAGGCGAGCAAUGAACGUGUCCACGUGGGCAUUAGUGCUACUGUUUUACCGAUCGAUAUUUUUUUAUGGUCAUAGUAAAAAGGCCUCACACAUGUGGCCCAGUCCCGCACUCCACGCAACCUCUCCUCCUCUUCUCGUCUCUCCUCUCCCUCGCCGCCGCCGCGGCCACUGCUUCUCCAUACCCUGCCUCCUGUUCGCUCCGCCGGUGCGAUGCUAGCCACACCGCAGCCACUCGUAAAACGGCGACGAUGAGGAGGCUCGGCCCUUGGCGCAGACCCACGCUCCCGAGCAGCGGCAGCGUCGGAUUUCUCUGUCUCGCGGCGCCAAGCCUCCCGUCUGCGUCGCGAUGCCGCCGGCAUGGAGGCCCAGGCUCUCGCAGCCUCUGCGGUGUCCGGUGCUCCGGCGAGGUCUCUGGGGACCACAUGGCGGGGAACUGGCGCGGCUUCCGGUCGUGGGUUCCGGUGGCUCAAAGCCGUACAUCUGAGCCGCCGCCUCCAGCUCGUUUAUUCCAUAUUCCGCCUAGGGCUUCACCGCCAUCGCAGAUCCCGCGUUCGUCUGCUACGGGUCCUCCGUGUUCGUGGCUGCUGUGUCGACACCGAGAGAAUUUCUUCAUCCGUCAGGUAUUACUCCCAACACAUGCUUCUUUUGUUUUGGGGGUCGAUCGAGUUUCCGUUGUUGGCUGCCAAUUUCACGAGCGUUAUCACCAUGCUGGUGCUACUUUCGUGUUGGUUAUGCUAGUGGUGGGGCUUUAAGCUGGGUUGAAUUUCAGCACGGACGCUGUUAUUUUGUAAGCAAGAACCGAUGAGCCUAAUUGAAAUACUAGAUCGUUGGAGCAAGCUACAUCCGUUAGGUUCCUUCAAGGAAUUAAUCAGCUGGUGACGCAGUGUUUAGCGCCGGGCUAUGGUGCAAAAUUUGUUAGAUUUGGUUCCUGUAUAAUUUUUAUUUAUCCAGUAAAAAUCAGGUUAGUGUUGCCCCGAGAGGAAAAUAAACCACCCACAAAGAUUAAUGACAUGGCCGUGGUGUUACCCAAUUUGGUGCAUGCCAAGGAAGGAAGUCCUGUUUUUAGACCUGAUCUUGUAAUUACUUUGGUGCCUGCCCAGAAUAACAGUGUGCACAUGUGGUAGGUACAGUAAGACAACUAGGUACUGGAAAAGGAAUAAGUAGGUUAUGAAAUUCCUAAUAGCUCUUUCUGUGUUGAUCAAAUUGGUGAUAUGUGCUAGCUGGGUAGUUAACAAAGAUUCUCUGGUACUCUUUAUGUGAAGUGCGUGUUUCUCAGCGUUAUUGCCUCGUGUGUUUCCGGUCUCUUCGGCUUUACAAAUGAGAUGGCCGGCAACUCCAGUUCAGGUUGGCCGCUUGGUCAUGUGCGGCAGUAUAGAUGGUUGUUCUUGUUGUGAUGAUGUUCAUGGAUUUGUUGUUGAUGUUAACCCGCUUAUAGCCUGUUCGUUGUUAUGUCGCGUCAAGGUGUGCUCUCAUUGUCAUGUUUUAUUCAAUUAUUGUGCUGAUCUGUGUGGUCCCUUGGUGUGUUCUAAGGCCAACCUGCAGCAGGUUGUCUCACGAGCUCACUGUUGCAUGGUUUGAUCUGAUUUUGUAUGGUUCUAGCCGGUGCUUAAAUUUUGUCCACAUAUUUAUGGCUGAAGCCCACACAUACAUACUCAUGGAUUUGAUUUUGCGCUAUGCCCUUGUGAACAAUCAAGCUAUCAGGUGAGAAUUGAUUUGUGGCUCUUUCUUUUCUUGAAUUGGCUGUUAUGUGGUUCUUGGGGACUCAAACUCUGCUCUGUUUCUUUCUUUACCUCCUAUUUAUGGACUCACUUUUGUUAGGGAGUCGAUUGAGGACCAAAUGGGUAUCUUGUCACUCAUCUCCGGCAAGUCAGGCGUCAGUCUGUCCAUGGUGGAGCAGAGAAUGUUGCCGGGCUCACCGUCCUCGUCAUAGGUGACCACAACCCUCCCAACCGACCGUAAUCCUUUGUUCUUGCAUUGCAUUGCAACCUCAUGCUUGACUGCACAUCUUGGUUGUGUGAUGUGAUGGGAACAUAUAUUGGGUAUUUGUUUUGUCAUAUGAUGAUGAUCUCUUUCCAACAAGUAGUCACACUAAUUAAAUUCAGAAAUCUGUUGGACGGCUCUCAACUUUGCAGCUUCAUGGUGUAUGAUUAAAAUUUGGCAUUAGACAAAACAAAGUGUGAUCUGCCUCUCUAAAUUUCUUCGAAUUCUGAAGUAGUACCGGAUUGAGACGGAGCUAAUGUGAAAUUAGCUUUUCUUGAAAAGUGUGCAGCGAAGAUUGUGUUAAUGCAUGAGGUAGGAUGCGGCACAUGUAUGGAUCCUGAGACAACAUACCCUCUUCUAUGUGUUGUUUCGGGAUGCUUAUAUGCAUACUUGCUAAAAGAACUAUACAUGUUCUUUUCUUAUAAAGUUCAGAUCUGACAACCAAGGGAACAGUACCCAUCAGGUAAAGAUGCAGUACAAAGAUAACCCAGUAAAAAGUACUCGGUUCUUCAUGCCGAUUUAAAAAAACAAUUAACCACUCCCUCCUUUUAAAUUGGUUGCUUUGCUAUACUGCUAGGUUUGAAGGCGGGCUAGGUUCAAUUUUUUAAGAUGAGCUAGGUUUGAUGAUGCACCUUAAGCAAUAGUUUAUGAAUCUGCCAAUUACUGUGGCUGGUUGUGACAUUCUUAAAUGAGAAGUAGACAGGCUUUGUAUAAGAUGCAUUAUACAGUUCUAAUCAAGUAAUUAUGGACAUGUUCAAUUACAGGCCAAGCCCUUUGGUGUGCUAAAUGAUUAAAUGUUGUUAUCUAACCGAAGCACUUGGAACUUCUGUGCAGAGGGUUAUUUUCCCUUUAAACAAAUGAAUGUCAGCUCAUAACAUAUGACGAUGCUAUCCUAACUGGCUAACUAAUUUGGCCGUAUGAGGUUGUAUAUUUGAGCUACAGGUGUUUGUUGUAGUGCAUGGAGUUUAUCGUGAUGGCCCUUUUGAGUUUCCCCUAUCUGUUCGAACUUCAACAGAAAACUAACCAAAGAUUAACAGGCAUGAUAUGGACUAACUAUAAGUAAACCUUUUCAGGUCAGCGUAUUGUGAUGUUAGCAUGCCCCCUGAAGGACUGCGGGAGUGCUUGCCACGCUUAAUACAAACUUUGGUGUCAAACAUGGUCUACACUGACGAUGAUGAAUCACUUGUUGAUGCUGAGGUUUGAAGACGGGCUAGGUUCAAAGUUUUAAGAUGGGCUAGGUUUCACUAGCGUGUGCCAUCGACUUGGUCUCAACCAUCUUAGGGCAACCCGUCGCUUUAGGGAGAUGGCGGUCCCUUUGUCGUCCUCCGGGCUCGGCUCAAUGAUUGGGAUCGGUCAUCGUUGGUGGCGGCGAAGGUGGUAUGGAGUUUUAACCAUGGAAGAGCCGGUACAACUCAGAAGGCAAAGUUGGAAAGCUCUUACAAAGGCUAUGGCAUUAGGCCAUUAGUAUUACAUGUUGUGUGGUCUGACUAUUACAAUGCAUAUCUAGAAGUAUCUGUGACGAGGUAGCUAGCCUGAAAGUGGAUCUACCGCGUGCUGCUCCUGUCCCCUUUCCCUCAAUUCAUCCUCAUGGAUCUGACAAGGUGACUGUCUCCUUCUCUGCUCUCAACGCCUCUAAAUUUGUUACUUAAAAUUCAACUAUUUCUCUGUUUCUACCUAUUGCCUCUGUCAAUGCAAUGGCUUAAGCCCCCAGGUAGCUGCAUAAUUCAUUCAUGUCAUGCGUUAAACAAAUCGAUUCUACUCAAUACCUCUUACCCACUAAUUGAACAUCAAUAUAGACUGAUUAUUACUACUUAAAUAAAUCACUAAAUGUAUCAGCAUGAUUGCCUGUGCUCAGACAAUAAUAUUUAUUUCAUGUUAAUCUACAAAUGUUCUUUACCACAUGAAGAUUUCACAAUGGAUUGCUUACUAGCUUGGUUUUGUUCUGUAACAUAAGUUACGUGACACUGAAACAUGCAUAUCCCACAUAGUUUCUUUUCAUGUAUAAUUGUUUCUUUUGUUCACUGGAUGCUUCAUUACUAAAUCUCUACAUUUGUGCAUACCUUCUGUCUGACCUAACACACGUGUACUACAUAUUGCCAUGAGUUUCAAAAAUUAGAUGUUCCUGGAGAUAUUCCAAAUUUGAUUAUCUAUGCCUAUUUGAUGACCAACUUCCUUCUAAGAAAAAAACCCAGCAUCUAUCUCAGUUACUUUCCUUUUAUGUAUAAUAGGUACUUUCAUUAAGUGCAUGCUUGAUUAGUAAAACUUUACAUUUACACAUAUGUAUCUUACCUAAGACAUGUCUACUACAAUCCUGAUUUUUCGAUGGGCAUUGAAUAGUGAGCGACGGAGGCUGUAUAUCAUGAGGUCGUUCGGCAUGGAUAGGGCUUGUCAUGCGGCGCCGUCCUCCCGACCUCCUUCCCAUCAUAGCCUUAUGGGAAUUGGCUUACAACGUGAUUCUAUACUUUACAUUAUAUCCUUUCUUAAUAUAUGUGCUUGUCCAUUCAGGUUUAUCUUAGCUUGGAAUUGGUGGAAGCGAUUUUAUCCCCCAUUUUCUUUCUCUAUGUUCUGUUUUCUAAGCAACAUAAGUGGUGUCAAUAAUAUAUGAUACUUGUCCAUUUCUAUCUUUAGGCAGGACAUCCUUUUCACAACAAGAGAUGAAAAUGCUCCUAUUAUACCUUCGCUUUUAUGUUGCGUGUGCUGCUUUUGAAAAAUUGUCUUUUAUGUCGCCAUUCAUGUAAACUACAAGGACAUAUUAAUAUCUAUGACUCCUAAGGCUGA